GCGGUUAAAAGUGUAGUUGUAGUGGUGAGGGAAAAGAGCGCCGUGCGUCGAUCCUAUCAGAGCCCCGAAUCUUGGAAUUCGAAUUUGUCCCCUUUAUCUGCGGAUUCCAUCGUAAUUGCUUAUCUACGAUGUGCUCGUUCUCUCUCUCUCUCCCUCCUUCCCUCCCUUUCUCUCUCUCUCUCUCACUCUCUCUCUUUUUCUUUCUCUUUCCCUCCUAUUCUUUUUAUUUCUUUUUCACUUUCUUGCAACGGGGAGAGCCAUAUCCGCCUACUUUAUGCGCCACGGUGGUAACCACACGAAACACGAUAAAAAAUAAAACGGAUAGCCGAUCAAAAAUAUUCGACGAACGAAAGACAUGCAAUUUGCAAUGAACAGAAUUGGAGUAUGGGCAAAGAAUACAUUAUUACCGAUUAUUAAUAAAUCAUUGAAGUUUCAUACUGAUCGAAAUUCAGAGAAAAUCUGUGUUCCCUUGAGAUCUUUUUUGAAUCAAUUGAAAUUGAAAAGUGAAGGCUGUUGGCUCGACGUACGUAUACAACGAAAUCCAAAGAAGAAUUAUUCGAUUCGGAGGCCGCAGAAAAAUUGCAAUUUCGGAGUACUUUGCAAUCGGCCAAUACCGAAAAUAACACGAACAAUGGCACCGGAAAUACCGAAGAAAACAUUACCGAUCGAAACGAACAAAAUACAUUUGAGAGUUUCAAAAAAGAAAAAAGACUCCGAAAGAAUGGGAAGAUCACGAAACGAAAAGUGACCUUUGCCGAUAGCAAAAGCGUGAAAGAGGACAAAUAUAAAAAAUAAUAUAUAACAAUAGUUUUAACAUUUUAUAUUUCGAUUAUCAGUGAAUUUCAAUUACGUACAUAU